rnacentral:lncRNA from 1 species
AAUGAGUAAUAAGAAGGCUUAGGGUUACAAAAUGUGAAACAAUUAUUUCAAUUGUUAGUAUACAGUAAGCAUGAGUUUCAUCAGACUAUAAUGCAAAACAGAUGAUAAACAAUAAUCAUUAAUUAUGCUAAUCUAACUAUAGUAAGCAUUGGUCGACCGUUAUUGAAUAUCGGUUUCCUAGAUGAUAACACCUGGUUUCAAUUAUCAUAACUACACUCCAGUCCCCCUUUCCCAAA